rnacentral:rRNA from 1 species
AGUGAACGCUGGCGGUAGGCCUAACACAUGCAAGUCGAACGGCAGCACAGUAAGAGCUUGCUCUUACGGGUGGCGAGUGGCGGACGGGUGAGGAAUACAUCGGAAUCUACUUUUUCGUGGGGGAUAACGUAGGGAAACUUACGCUAAUACCGCAUACGACCUACGGGUGAAAGCAGGGGAUCUUCGGACCUUGCGCGAUUGAAUGAGCCGAUGUCGGAUUAGCUAGUUGGCGGGGUAAAGGCCCACCCAGGCGACGAUCCGUAGCUGGUCUGAGAGGAUGAUCAGCCACACUGGAACUGAGAAACGGUCCAGACUCCUACGGGAGGCAGCCGUCGGGAAUAUUGGACAAGGGGCGCAAGCCUGAUCCAGCCAUACCGCGUGGGUGAAGAAGGCCUUCGGGUUGUAAAGAACUUUUGUUGGGAAAGAAAAGCAGCAGGUUAAUACCCCGCUGUUCUGACGGUGCCCAAAGAAUAAGCACCGGCUAACUUCGUG